GAUGAAGAACGUAGCGAAAUGCGAUAAGUAGUGCGAAUUGCAGAAUUCAGUGAAUCAUCGAAUCUUUGAACGCACAUUGCGCCCUUUGGUAUUCCUUAGGGCAUGCCUGUUCGAGCGUCAUUUGAAACCUCAAGCUCAGCUUGGUGUUGGGUGUCUGUCCCCGCCUCCGCGGGGACUCGCCUCAAAAUCAUUGGCGGCCGGUACGUUGGCUUCGAGCGCAGCAGAAACGCGAACUCGAGGCCCGGCGGAUCGGCGACCAGAAGUCUCUUCUUCACAGUUUGACCUCGGAUCAGGUAGGGAUACCCGCUGAACUUAAGCAUAUCAAUAAGCGGAGGA
rnacentral:misc_RNA from 1 species